GUCAAGGUGGGUGGAUGGCUUGAGCCCAGGAAUUCCAGACCAGCCUGGGCAACAUGGCGAGACCAUGUCUCUCCAAAAAAUACAGAAAUUAACUGGGUGUGGUGGCAUGUGCCUGUAGUCCCAGCUACUUAGGAGGGUGAGCCCAGGAGGUUGAAACCACAGUGAACUGUGAUCGCACCACUGCACUCCAGCUUGGGAAACAAAGUGAGAAUCUGUCUCAAAAAAAAAAAAAAAGAAGAAGAAGAAGCCAGGCGCAGUGGCUCAUGCUUGUAAUGCCAGCACUUUGGGAGGCCGAGGUGGGCAGAUCACCUGAGGUCAGGAGUUCGAGACCAGCCUGACCAACAUGGUGAAAUCCCAUCUCUACUAAAACUACAAAAAUUAGCUGGGCAUGGUGGCAGGCACCUGUAAUCCCAGCACUCAGGAGGCUGAGGCAGGAGAAUUGCUUGAACUCAGGAGGCAGAGGUUGCAGUGAGCUGAGAUUGUGCCAUUGCACUCCAGCCUGGGUGACAGAGAGAGACUCCGUCUUUUUUAAAGGAAAAAAAAAAAAAAGGCCAGGCGCAGUGGCUCACGUCUGUAAUCUCAGCACUUUGGGAGGCCGAGGCAGG
rnacentral:lncRNA from 10 species